rnacentral:rRNA from 1 species
AGUGAACGCUGGCGGUAGGCCUAACACAUGCAAGUCGAACGGCAGCACAGUAAGAGCUUGCUCUUACGGGUGGCGAGUGGCGGACGGGUGAGGAAUACAUCGGAAUCUACUUUUUCGUGGGGGAUAACGUAGGGAAACUUACGCCCAUACCGCAUACGACCUACGGGUGAAAGCAGGGGAUCUUCGGACCUUGCGCGAUUGAAUGAGCCGAUGUCGGAUUAGCUAGUUGGCGGGGUAAAUGCCCACCAAGGCGACGAUCCGUAGCUGGUCUGAGAGGAUGAUCAGCCACACUGGAACUGAGACACGGUCCAGACUCCUAAGGGAGGCAGCAGUGGGGAAUAUUGGACAAUGGGCGCAAGCCUGAUCCAGCCAUACCGCGUGGGUGAAGAAGGCCUUCGGGUUGUAAAGACCUUUUGUUGGGAAAGAAAAGCAGCAGGUUAAUACCACGCUGUUCUGACGGUACCCAAAGAAUAAGCACCGGCUAACUUCGUG